GUUGCUCCGCGGCAUGUGGGAUCUUCCCGGACCAGGGCUGGAACCCGUGUCCCCUGCAUCGGCAGGUGGAUUCUUAACCACUGCGCCACCCGGGAAGUCCCGGGGGAAAGUAUCUUGAUAUGCUUCUACCUGUUAUCACCACGGUCCCUUCUAGAACAGUAACUCACAUUAUGCUAACGUGGGCUGAAAGGGUACAUGUGUUUUUUGCAAAAUUAUAAAAAACUGUGCUUGCCUCUCCCGUGGCACCUGCCACACCCUGCUUCAGGAUGAGACCCUGCUAACCACCUUUCUCCUUUGGUGACUGGCUUUCUGUUGGGUUCUACCGAUGGUGGGCCACGAGGGAGAUGGGAACCCCGAGGAGGGAAGAAGGGGCCUGUUCCUCGAUGUUUGCUUCCUGUCCCUGACGGUGGUGGCCCAGCUGCGGGUCGCAGCCCAGCAGUGACAGUUCAUUCCUGGAGGAGGUGGUCCUGGCCUGCAGGAUUGCCACACUUUCAUAGAACCAGCUUUGCCUCGAAAAUUGCAGCGCCGUCAGCCCGGUGCCCCUUUCAGACAUUUGUAUCCCGGCUCCGUGAGGUCCUGCCAAGUCCCGAGGCACCGGUACCAGCUGCGCGGUGUCCACGCCUCAGAGGUUUGACUCCCAGCUCCGCUUCUAGGUUUUCAAAGCCCCUUCUCUGUUCCCCAGCCCUGAGGGUGCUGGCUGCUUCCCUUGGUUAUCAUCUCUGUCACCUCUUCAGUAUCCUGUUAACAACCCUUGAUAUUCAACCCUUUCUGUUAAAAUAACUGGCAUGGUCUUGGCCUCCUGAUUGAACAGGCAGCCGGAUUUGCAGUUCCUGCGUGAGGGGGAAUGAGGCCGGGUCCUCUCCCAGCACCCCCAGCUCAGAUUGGCUUCCCACUGGCACGUGUGGCCUUUGCUCCUAGAUCCUGGGAUUCACCCCAAGCGUGGAGAACUAAGACGAUGGAGAAACGGGUAUCUCACCUCCUGUCCGGUCAUGCAGUCCUGUCUCCUUCAUUCCCACUCUGCUCUUCCUCAGUCUCUUCAAGACCUUCUGUCCACUCAGUCUUCUGCUCUCUGCUACUGCAUCGUCACCUUCUUGGCUUUGCUUUGCUGUGUAGUCCAUCUAGAUCCCAUUGUCACCACUUCACUUAAUCACCAGGACCGUCUACUCUCCUGCCCUGUUGCCCUCCGGCCACACUGCACUACACAGCCUGGGCCUGGCACGUUCCAUCUGUCCCCUCCCGCGCCCACUAGCAGGUGCCACUGGAGGGAGUUCACAUGCCAAGCAUCGGGUGUCACCUGGGCCCCAAGUGAUGCCUGGAGGGCGUUCUCCACCUCCUCUCCUCUCGGGGCUGUUCUCACCUGUGACUCUGCUCCAGCCCGACCCUGCCCUCCUUUCCUGUCUAACCUGGAGGAUGGCCUCACCUGUCUUUUCUCACACCGGGUUGAGUAUGGAGGCAAAGCUUCAGGUCUGUUUCCCACACUCACCACCUGUUCUUACCUUACUUGGAGGAGAAGGGGUUGCUCCUCCUGUCAUGGGCUAGAUCUUCCGCUGACCGACCUUGCUUACCCAAUACUGUCCUCAUGACACGUCUUCUAAUGUGCCAUGUUAAUUUGCUUUCAUUUUCCCCCCCUCCUUCUACUCCCAGGAGGAUAUAUAUCUUCUAAGGGCAGGGAUUUCACAUCCAUGUGGUUGACCAUGAGAUGAGAAGGAAAGUCAUCAUGGUUGAUUCCGAGGGUUUUGGCCUGAGCCCUGGAAGAUUGGAGUUGCCUCUAACUCAGCUGAGGAAGGUCAUUAAUGGAGCAGGUUUGGAGGGAACGUCAGAGAUUCAGUCUGGAUGUGUUAGCACAUUAGACAUCCAUGUGGAGCUGUUGAGUGGGCUGGAGGAUUGUACCAGUUUUAGAGCUGAGGUCAGGGUACUGGGAGAAACACAGGUGUCCUCAGCAUAAGACACUUAGAACCAUGGACAAGAUGAGAGCUACAGGAAGUGACUGUGGAUGGUAAAGAGGAGGCCUUGAACUGAGCUCUGGGGCACUCUGGCACCCAGACCUCGGGCAGAUGAAGAAAACCCUCAAGGAGAUUGGCAGGAGGAGCCCUGACUGUGAUAAGGAGGAAAACCUGGAGGACACGCUGUCCUGGAUACCAGUGGCAAGAGUGUUUCCAUGAAGGACGUGACAGGGACCAGCUGUGCCCAUUGCUACUGAACCAGGGACCACAGGGGACAGAGACUAAGGACAACGACCUCCAGAGCCCAGAUGCCCUCGGUGUUUCUUCCACGUGGCACUGUCCUGUGGGAACAGUACCCAGCCUAGCACAUACUGCACACAGGGUUUACCCCUAAAGCGAUCUGUGAAUAUUAAUCCCUUCCGCAAGCUGAUAUCACCAACCCAGCCGUGCACAGAGCCAGGGAACCCCGGCCCUGAACCGUCCAGCCUGGCCCCAGCCUGCUGUGAGCCCCCAGAGGAAUCCCACAGUGCUCUUCAAGCUGCAGCAGGGGGAGCACCGUGGGUAUUUACUGAUAUUUCAUUUUAACCAAUGACCAUCGGGACACAUCAAGGUAGCUGAUGUCGUAGGCAUAUGGGCCCCCUGGGAGCUGAUACAUUUUUUCAACCCUGCUCUGCCUGCCAGCUAGUAGACAUGAACAAGUGGAUGAAGGCAUUCUGGAUUUCGUGAAGGUUUCUCAUCUGGCUUUUAAAAAACCCAUCAACGCUGGAAAACCCAAGGCCUCUGUGAGCAUACCAUGGCCUUUAAAGAGAGUCCCGUGCCUGGAACCCCUGAAAUAUAUACUGGGGUUAAUACACUUAAAGGUGGCUUCAGAAGCAAAGUAACAUCGAGGCCCUAAUUCCGGAACUGGCCCUGCCCGUCUGUCACUGUCUUCCGGUGGGGUGGCAGCCAUGGGAUCCGAAGGCGACUUCUGAUUUCAGGCUCCCUCCUUGUGGUUGGUCUGUCCGACUUGAUUCAGGACUUGGGCAAGGACACAUUGUCCUUCUGUUGUUCCAGAGCCUGCAGAUGGGAUCCUGGUAGAUCUGGCAGAAGCUGGAAGGGGUGAGAAUUCUGACCAGAGUCAGCUCUCCUGAAUCUCUGUUUGCAGUGCCCAGUUGAGAGAGAAAGGUAAAUCGUUCAUGUCCCUUCCUUUCCAAAUCCAGACCCAUUGGUUGAUCUUUUCUCUCCCAGGGACAGCUGUUGCCUUCUUGUUUGUCUCGUUUUGUGUCCUGAGAACUUGGCUUGGCGACCGUCAGGUUGGGCAGAUAUAACAGAAAUGUUAAAAAGCGUAUUACAGCCUGACACUGACACCCCUCAUGACCUACUUCCUGGAGAAUACAGCCACUGGAAAAGACCCCAACUAAAGGACUCCUGCUUCCCUCCUUGGAAAGGAUCUUUUCUGGUACUGCUCGCCAGUUCCUGCACAGCUAAAUUUGAAGGCAUCCGGCCCACCUGAAAGGAGUAACAGGACCAGAAUGAACCAGCAAAGCCACAGCCCUACUCCGCCGGCCAGGAGCUGAUACAAAUGAGGCCACGACCAGGAAUCUCUCCUUACCUCUUGAAGAUUACAGAAUCUGCUGGUAAAGCAACAGCUGCCCAAUGAAAAUCCCUAGACUCUCUGGCCAGAGUUGUUCUUGAAAAUAAGAGAAGCCUCUGGUUGAUUAUCCUUCAGCUGAACAAGGAGAUGCCUGUGCUGUGACCAGCACUGCCUGCUGCACCUGGAUCAACACUGCUGGGGAAGGUGAGACUCAGCCACGUGAGACUACUGAACAAACCAGUCACUUUCUCAGGCCAACAAACCAGCCCACGGGAUCUUUCUUUGGGGAUUAUUCUGCCUAUAAUACUACAGCAGUCGCCGUAGUGUGCUGUAUCCUCGCAAAAGCUUUAAAUGCAACUUUGCAGCCGCUAGCUACCAAGCAAAUGAUCUCCCUCAGAACAGAACAUACGAAAAGGAACGAAGAGAAUGACCGACUAAAAGACCAUGAACCCAGUGCCGUGACCUGUGAAGACCACACAGAGAUGCAGCAAAAAAAACCCGGUAAGAACUCCACAGCCACAGCUGGGAGUAGCGCUAAUGCCUUAAACUUUGAUCACUUCUCUUAAUUAGGCUCAGAGUCUGAUGAAAAGGGGGUAAUUGUUAAAAACAAGACAGCAGACCCAAAAUGAAGUCGCUUAGGCUAGGUUCCAUAUCACCAAACCGAGACUUAACUUUAUAGUUUCAGCUCCCCCAGAAAGGAGUCUUUAACCAGUCAAAUCGGGACUCGCCGGAUCGGCACAUCUGCCCGACAGACCCCUGCCGUCCCCUAACGGAGAGCGACUGGGCUACAACCAACCCGCUUUUUCAGCUGGUGUAACUUCCUCGUUCCCGCUUCUUUCUGCCUGCAUGUCUUUCGUUUUGUACAGCUCCUUUCUAUCUGCCUGAUUCAUGAAUCACUGAAAUAAAGCCAGUAAGCUCUUUCAAAUAUACUCAGUCGAAUUCUUUUAACACCAUCUUCCUCUCAAAGGCUCAGCCCCUGUUUUCCGAAUCCCCCAUCUGCCAGCUCAGGGCACUUGCAGUAAAAAUUGUUCCACGUCUCCCCCCUUUGGGUCAGGAUCUUGUCCUACCCUACUUUUCAGGCUGAAGUCUCGCUCUUUCUCUACAGCAAAAUGACACUCUGCUGUUCCCCAGACACCCCUGCUUGUUUCUGCAUCUGUGCUGCUUUCGCCCUUGAACUGGCCUCCACCCUUCGAGACCCCCUCCUCGCACCCCGGGCCUUGGAAGGGAUCCCUCUCCCCUUGGAAACCUUUUAGCAUUUUGUUUAAAGUCUCAGGGUAUUUAAUACAUAAGUGCUGCAAGAAUCAUUUUUUGAUUGAAUAAACUUACCACUUUUUUUUUUUA